rnacentral:misc_RNA from 1 species
AAGUCGUAACAAGGUUUCCGUAGGUGAACCUGCGGAAGGAUCAUUAACACGUAUCCACGUAUCAACCCCUCUGUGCACACCGUCCUCGUCAGGCUGGUCUAGUAUGCCUGCUCGCAAUGGUCUUAAUGAUGGGAGUAUUUCCGGCCCCCCGCCUUUCUCUUUUCGAGGGGCAGUUGGUUGGUUACUCGGGAUCUUGAGCAGGAUGCGUUUUGUUGACGACCAGCCGCUAUUUUUCCAUCGUUAGCCUUUUUUUUUUUCCAACCCCUUUGUAC